rnacentral:tRNA from 1 species
GCAUUGGUGGUUCAGGAGUAGAAUUCUCACUUUGAUGCAGGAGACCUGGGUUCGAUUUCUAGCCAAUGCA